UCAGGACGAACGCUGGCGGCGUGCUUAACACAUGCAAGUCGAACGAUGAUCCGGUGCUUGCACCGGGGAUUAGUGGCGAACGGGUGAGUAACACGUGAGUAACCUGCCCUUGACUCUGGGAUAAGCCUGGGAAACCGGGUCUAAUACCGGAUAUGACUUCUCACCGCAUGGUGGGGGGUGGAAAGAUUUUUUGGUUUUGGAUGGACUCGCGGCCUAUCAGCUUGUUGGUGGGGUAAUGGCCUACCAAGGCGACGACGGGUAGCCGGCCUGAGAGGGUGACCGGCCACACUGGGACUGAGACACGGCCCAGACUCCUACGGGAGGCAGCAGUGGGGAAUAUUGCACAAUGGGCGCAAGCCUGAUGCAGCGACGCCGCGUGAGGGAUGACGGCCUUCGGGUUGUAAACCUCUUUCAGCAGGNAANAAAGCG
rnacentral:rRNA from 1 species